rnacentral:rRNA from 1 species
GACGAACGCUGGCGGCGUGCCUAAUACAUGCAAGUCGAGCGAAAGCUCUCUGGUCCUUGUACUAGAAAGACGCAGCGGCGAGCGUGUGAGUAACACGCAUAGAACCUACCUCAUAGACGGGCGCAACUAUUGGAAAUGAUAGCGCAUACCGGAUGACAGUAUUAACUGGAGGGCGGAUGUUUAAAAGCUAGUUUUGCUAACACUAUGAGAUUGCUUUGCGGGGCAUUAGCUAGUUGGUGGGGUAAAGGCCUACCAAGGCGACGAUGCGUAGCCGACCUGAGAGGGUGAUCGGCCACACUGGGACUGAGACACGGCCCAGACUCCUACGGGAGGCAGCAGUAGGGAAUCUUCCGCAAUGGGCGAAAGCCUGACGGAGCCACGCCGCGUGAGUGAAGAAGGAUUUCGGUUCGUAAAGCUCUGUUGUUAGGGAAGAAUGAUUGUGUAGUAACUAUACACAGUAGUGACGGUACCUAAAGAGAAAGCCCCGGCUAACUACGUG